CCACUAUAUAAGCAGCAAUGGCCUCCCCACUCUCUUCCCAUUCAAUUCCAUCACCAUUCUCUUUCUUUUCUAUUCUAUUCCAACAACAACUCAUUCAUCCACCUACUACUUUCCCUUUCAAAUGGCAACCAAAGUCUACAUUGUUUACUACUCCAUGUAUGGACAUGUUGAGAAGCUAGCACAAGAGAUAAAGAAAGGAGCCGCAUCAGUUGAAGGCGUAGAAGCCAAACUAUGGCAGGUACCAGAAACUCUUUCAGAAGAGGUUCUUGGAAAGAUGGGUGGACCAGCAAAAGCGAUGCCCAAUUAUCACACCCAAUGACCUUGCUGAAGCUGAUGGCUUUGUGUUUGGAUUCCCAACAAGAUUUGGGAUGAUGGCUGCUCAGUUCAAGGCAUUUCUUGAUGCCACUGGUGGUCUCUGGAGAACUCAGCAGCUUGCAGGCAAGCCAGCGGGCCUUUUCUACAGUACUGGCUCUCAAGGAGGUGGCCAAGAGACUACUGCGUUGACUGCAAUUACUCAGCUUGUUCACCAUGGAAUGAUCUUUGUCCCGAUUGGUUACACAUUUGGUGCUGGCAUGUUCGAGAUGGAGAAGAUUAAAGGUGGAAGUCCUUACGGUGCAGGAACUUUUGCUGGAGAUGGCUCUAGACAGCCAACAGAUCUUGAACUGGAGCAAGCUUUCCACCAGGGAAAACACAUUGCUACCAUCGCAAAGAAGCUCAAAGGCUCUGCUUGAUUGUUUCACUACAAACUCAUGUCCUAUUGCAUUCUGCUGUCCAUUUUUUUUUCCCCUAUGUCUAGUAUACUCUUGUUUUAAGUUGCAUUUCUACUACAAAAAAACAAUAAGUGAUUAUUAUCUAUUAUAUCAGCAUAUAUAUAUAGGGUCAGUGUCUAUCACAGUUUACAGAGGUUGUUUACAUGUUCUAUGAAUCAUACUUAAUUUUUUUUUUCUCAUUUCAUAAUCAAUGGCUACAGCAACAAUCCCUUUA